UUUAUCCACAGGCCGCACCCAGCCCGAAGUGAAGAAAUAUUUGCAUUUGCUUCUCCUUGGAGAGCAGCCAGCCUAUGUGAGAGGGCCCUCCCCGUUCGCCUUGGCCGGCCAAGAGGGAUUGCAAGAAAGGACGGGCUGAUUGCAGCAGCUCAGGGCGUUGCGCAGGCACGGCUCCUUGCCCUUUUGCACCUCCACUGCAAGACGAUGCAAGACCUCAGCAGGUUUUGCACCUCCAGAGUGCGAGGCUUUGGGAAUGACUUCAAACCCACGACUUCCUGGCAUGGCACACGGACCAGAGCCGCCUCUAGACGUGACCAUCCCAACUCCAGGACACACCACAGCUUCGCACGAGCAUCUUAUUGACAAAUAGCUUACAGCCAUCUGUGCCCUGACGGAUGGCUGCAGACACACAUCACCAACAUGAAUAAUAGGCUUUGUAGAUGGGGAGAGACGGCAGGAAACAUUUGCGGGGUUGGUGUGAAGAAUCCAUAUGUUACCCAUACAUUAACCCUUCCAUUCUUAAAUACAGUGUGUGCUGGGGAGACUUUAGGCAGCGUGACCCAGAAACAUUUGUCUGCUGCUGCUUUGUUGGUGCUUUUUUUUAAAACAUCUUCCUUUUUUUUUUUUUUUCUUUUUUUUUCCAUCAGGGAAGCAUUAAAUAUUGACUCAGA